AGUCCACCCCGCCCCACUCCAUCCCAACCCCCCGACUCCCUUGCCCCCGCCGCCGAUGCAGGGAACGCCCGGCUUCUCAGCCAUCAUCGCGACAUCAACCUCUCCCAUGAUGACGGAGCGAUAACCAUGAACCGGGCGCUGGACGUGGAGUGCAGUUGUCGGCUGGAUCCUGCUGCUCACCACAUCCCCGCUUGAGAUCUCGGUGCCCCUAGGUGGUCGUCGCCAAGGACAAGGUGGAUGCUAUGCGAAGAUGGCCAUUGGCCUCCACCCCCGCAGCUCAUCGACAAGGCCAAUGCGAGGGGGCGCUCGGCUUCUUCCUCACCUCCCAGUUCGCAGACUCCCAGGAGGCUUGGCGUAGAGCACUCACUGCGGUCGUCCGGAAGCCUCGGAGUGGUCGGAGGUGAGCCAGAGCAGGAAGAAGACUACGUCCUUCCUUGGCCGAGCGGGUGACGGCGAGUGAUCUGCGGAGGCCUUCGUCGGACUCCUGCGCGUGGUUGCGGACUGCGGCGUCGAGAGGGCAGACGUGUUGGAUCAGGAGCUGAUCACGGGACGGCGAGGGAGCUGCGGAGGCCUCCAUUGAGCUCGAGCGCGGUGCCUCUCUCGAACUCCUGCAUGUCGUUGCGGACGGCGGUGGCGCAGCGGUGCUGGCGAGAGGGCAGGCUCGUUGGAUCAGGAGAUGAUCGCGGGACGGCGAGUCAAGGCCUAGAUCUAAAGCAGUGCGAGCCGCUGCUGGAGGUGGAGGUGAAUGUGCUCUGCCUCAUGGCCAUGGAGAUCCUCGUUGAGGAGAGAAAUGUCCACCGCAUCGAACCCCGUCCCGUCAAGUUGACGCCGGUUAUUCGAACCAGCAACAUGAUUAGCCUGGGGCAGCACCAUCAUUGGAAACCCACUACAUGGUUACUCCAUUCCGUGGUUUGACCCUUCAAGGUGGUGAAGCCCAAACUGAAUACCGCUCCGUACAUGAAGAAGGGCCUCAUGAUGAGAUUUAGGAAGAUGGCGCAAUAACGCAUGCUGAGUUGGAAAAAUAAGGGUAACAAUGCAGUCCAUUUAAAGUUGGAAGAAGAUCAUCCAUAGUUGAAGAACAUGACAGAGAACAGAGGAGUUUCAUUCUCUGAAUAAGGGAAAUCAAAAUGGUAGGAUAAUUCUCUUUUCAUAGCUCUAGAUGUAUUGAACCUUGGGGAGGGAGAAGACACAUGCUCUCACUUUAUAAUGCAAGCCUUUUACAGAUAGAAUUAUCCAGAAAAAACUUCUCGACGCAAAGCAAUUAUGGGGAAGGGAUUUUUUAUUUUGGUUAACGUGUCCCUAAUCUAGCUGAUAGCAUUUCACGGCAAAAGGGGUUAUAAGUAUAAUUUUUUUCUAAAGCGUGCAGUGAGAAAAUACAUAUAUUUUUCUGAAGUGCUACCAAAUGGCCUCCCUUGAAUAGCAAGACUAGGAUUUAUCUUUUUUGGUGAGAUCAGUGUCAGGUAACAGUUUUAUUUUCCUAUAUUUCAAUGUUCAAUGUGCUCAGGCUUUCUAACAUACUGCAUUCUUGUGUUCCGAGUUAACAAAUUUAAGUGUUUUGUAUUUUACAGAGAUUCGAGGAUUUGAGAAAUAAACCAUAUAUGGUUUUGUGCUUGCAGUGAUUUUGGCACCUGGGUUCACUUUGCAUGGAGGAACAGAAUCAGAUCCCUGGUGUAUAACUGGUGGUAAAAUUUGCUCUGUCUAUAUCAAGGAUAAGCCAGUUGCACUCAAGAACUAGGUUUAGUCUUUCUUGGGAUUUCUGAAAUUUGAAGUUAGUGGUUUUGAAAUAUAUGCUAUUUCUAAACCAUUGUACAAAUAUAUUGCAAAAUAUAUGCUAUUCUGCUUGUACUGUAAUUUGUUACUGAAUUUUUCAUUGUAGUGAACUCUCUUGCUACUUAUAUUCCACAUAAAUGAGGGCUUACAAUUUCAAUAGAACAAGGGAAGGAGAAGGGGUUUAGUUAGGAAAGAGAAAAGGAGGGAAGAAAGAUAUGGAAACACCAAGAUAAAGAAGUUAGUUUUGCAUUAGCUGAUAUUCCCAUUCCAGUGUGCAUUGUCGGGGCCAUGGAUAUGUGUUCAUGGAUUUAUAUCCUGUUUAAUAUGGAGAAGCAAAACCAUUUGAGACAGUGGUGCUCGAUACCUAGAUUAUACUGCACCCUGAAAUAGAGAAACUUGUGAGGUCUCGUCGGUUGAGUUGACUAGCACCUACAUACCUUCAUAAUGUUUGAACUCACACGGAAAACUUCAUGUCAAAAGAAACAUAUUGUUCCUUGUGCACUAUUAGAAAUCCCCAACA